AUGGGGCACUACGCGUUUCUAUGGGUCUCUGUGGGUCUCUGUGGGGCACUGUGGGUCUCUCUGUGCGGCUCUAUGGGGUCUCUAUGGGGUCUCUAUGGGGCUCUAUGGGGCGCUAUGGGGCACUUAGGGGUCACUGUAGGCUCUCUCUAUGGGUCUCUGUGGGUCUCUAUGGGGCAUUAUGGGUCUUUAUGGGUCUCUGUGGGUCUCUGUGGGGCAGCUAUGGGGCACUAUGAGUCUCUAUGGGGUCGCUAUAGGGCUCUGUGGGUCUCCAUGGGUCUCUAUGGGUCGCUAUGGGUCUCUAUGGGGCACUACUCUAUGUGUCUCUAUGGGUCUCUAUGGGUCUCUAUGGGUCUCUAUGGGGCAGCUAUGUGGCUCUAUGGGUCUCUGUGGGUCUCUAUGGGGCUCUAUGGGGUUCUAUGGGGCAGCUAUGGGUCUCUAUGGGUCUCUAUGAGGCUCUAUGGGGCGCUAUGGGGCACUGUGGGGCUCUAUGGGUCUCUAUGGGGCUCUAUGUGGCUCUAUGGGGCACCAUGGGGUUCUAUGGGGCAGCUAUGCUGCGCUAUGGGGCACUUUGGGGCUCUAUGGGUCACCUAUGAGGUUCUAUGGGGCAGCUACGGGUCUCUAUGGGUCUCUAUGGGUCUCUAUGGGAUCUCUAUGGGGCUCUAUGGGUCUCUAUGGGUCUCUAUGGGGCAGCUAUGGGUCUCUAUGGGUCUCUAUGGGGCGCUAUGGGGCUCUAUGGGGUUCUAUGGGGCACUAUGGGGCUCUAUGGGUCUCUAUGGGUCUCUGUGGGGUCUCUAUGGGGCGAUAUGGGGUCGCUAUAGGGCUCUGUGGGUCUCUAUGGGUCGCUGUGGGUCCCGCU
rnacentral:lncRNA from 1 species